AUGCACGCUGGCGGCGUGCUUCACACCUGCAAGUCGCACGAGAAGUGAAGACGGAAACCUUCGGGCGGAAGGCUUUAUUUCGAGUGGCGGACGGGUGAGUAACGCGUGGGUAACCUGCCUCAUACAGGGGGAUAACAGUUGGAAACGACUGUUAAUACCGCAUAAGACCACAGCACCGCAUGGUGCGGGGGUAAAAACUCCGGUGGUAUGAGAUGGACCCGCGUUCGAUUAGCCAGUUGGCGGGGUAACGGCCCACCAAAGCGACGAUCGAUAGCCGAUCUGAGAGGAUGACCGGCCACAUUGGGACUGAGACACGGCCCAAACUCCUACGGGAGGCAGCAGUGGGGAAUAUUGCACAAUGGGGGAAACCCUGAUGCAGCGACGCCGCGUGAGUGAAGAAGUAUUUCGGUAUGUAAAGCUCUAUCAGCAGGGAAGAAAAUGACGGUACCUGAGUAAGAAGCCCCGGCUAACUACGUG
rnacentral:rRNA from 1 species